GCAGGGCUCCCACACAAACCUCAAAGGCUCAGCCCAGCCUGCUGGGUUUUGGUGGCACUGAGGGACACCUGGUUUAACACAGGUCCCCUGCAAGCAGCUGAGCCCAGAGAGUGACAGGAAAUCCUCAACAGCACCAGCUGUGGUCACAUCUCCAUCAGAAGGAUGGGCAGAGCCACCAGCAAGGAGAAGGCUUCCACCAUCCCCUGGAGCAUCUGAGACUGCCAAGGUUUGAGUCCAUGGGAAAGGAUUCCUGCAGCACCACCAGGGCCUAAGGAAAGCUCCCUCCCAAACCACUUUACUGUGAAAAAGGCACAGUUCAGAGAUGACAGCAGGGAUUUUAGCCAGGACUCCUGAACUGCCUCAAGAUUUGGGGAAUUGCUGCAACCAGAGGAGAAACCCCCCACCCACAGCAGGUGAGCUCCAGGAUUUGUAGCUGUAGCCCAGGAACCGUUCCCUAAGGGGUUCUCAGACCCACAGGAGUCAUCCCAGCCAGGAGGGCAAGAGGUGCCCUGAGAAGAUGGGAUGUGUGGGAGAAACCUCACCUCUGCA